rnacentral:rRNA from 1 species
GAUGAACGCUGGCGGCGUGCUUAACACAUGCAAGUCGAACGGAAAGGCCAGUGCUUGCACUGGUACUCGAGUGGCGAACGGGUGAGUAACACGUGGGUGAUCUGCCCUGUACUUCGGGAUAAGCUUGGGAAACUGGGUCUAAUACCGGAUAGGACAACUUUUUGGAUAUUGUUGUGGAAAGCUUUUGCGGUAUGGGGUGAGCUCGCGGCCUAUCAGCUUGUUGGUGGGGUAAUGGCCUACCAAGGCGUCGACGGGUAGCCGGCGUGUGAGGGGGUAAGGCGACAUUGGGGGUGUGAUACAGGGCAGACUCCUACGGGGGGCAGAAGUGGGGAAUAUAGUGCAAUAGGCGCAGGACUGAGGUGGAGCCGCGGCGUGGGGGGUAAAGGCGUUCGGGUUGUGAAAUCCGUUCGCGAGGGACGAAGCUUUUUUGUGACGGUACCUGGUAAAGAAGCACCGGCUAACUACGUG